rnacentral:rRNA from 1 species
AGGGUUUGAUUAUGGCUCAGGAUGAACGCUAGCUACAGGCUUAACACAUGCAAGUCGAGGGGAAACGGCAGGGAGUGCUUGCACACUCUGGACGUCGACCGGCGCACGGGUGAGUAACGCGUAUCCAACCUGCCCACCACUUGGGGAUAACCUUGCGAAAGUAAGACUAAUACCCAAUGACGUCUCUAGAAGACAUCUGAAAGGGAUUAAAGAUUUAUCGGUGAUGGAUGGGGAUGCGUCUGAUUAGCUUGUUGGCGGGGUAACGGCCCACCAAGGCGACGAUCAGUAGGGGUUCUGAGAGGAAGGUCCCCCACAUUGGAACUGAGACACGGUCCAA